rnacentral:rRNA from 1 species
GACGAACGCUGGCGGCGUGCUUAACACAUGCAAGUCGAACGGAAAGGCCCUGCUUUUGUGGGGUGCUCGAGUGGCGAACGGGUGAGUAACACGUGAGUAACCUGCCCUUGACUUUGGGAUAACUUCAGGAAACUGGGGCUAAUACCGGAUAGGAGCUCCUGCUGCAUGGUGGGGGUUGGAAAGUUUCGGCGGUUGGGGAUGGACUCGCGGCUUAUCAGCUUGUUGGUGGGGUAGUGGCUUACCAAGGCUUUGACGGGUAGCCGGCCUGAGAGGGUGACCGGCAACAUUGGGACUGAGAUACGGCCCAGACUCCUACGGGAGGCAGCAGUGGGGAAUAUGGCACAAUGGGCGGAAGCCUGAUGCAGCAACGCCGCGGGCGGGAUGACGGCCUUCGGGUUGUAAACCGCUUUCGCCUGUGACGAAGCGUGAGUGACGGUAAUGGGUAAAGAAGCACCGGCUAACUACGUG